rnacentral:lncRNA from 12 species
AAUAUGAAGGAUGAAAGAAGUCCAAGUGACCAUUUCCCAUCUUUUAUAUAAUUUACAGGAACAGCCCUUUUGUGAGACAACACUGAAACAUUUCCAAAAGAGAGACAAGCACUUCUAGAAUGAUUGAGUAGGAGGCAUCUCCGAUAAUCUGGUCUUCCAUAAAAGUAACAAAAACACCAGCAAAAAUGGCCCAAAUCAACUUUUUCAGAAGUCUGGAAAGUAACCAAAGGCUUGCAACAAUCUAGAGCCUGUUUUUCAAGAAAAGUGACUGAAUCUCAGGUGAGAACUAUGGCAUUUUAAUUGCCCUAUUCUACAUCCCCUUU